CUUGUCCCUCCACAGACAGGCAGGAAGAGGAGGCGGUGAAGGGGAAGAAAAGGACAAAAUUUAACCAGGGCCGGGGACGCUACUCACCCAGCGGGCUGAAGGCGGCCUCCCACGUCAUGAAGUCAUCACGCGUGUACAGCUCCACAGAGCCCCGGCUGCCACUGGAGCAGACCUUGAAGCCGUCAGAGAUGACCUGUCCCCCGUACGUGGAAGGGGCUGGCCGGGACUGCUCUCCCUGGAUCUUCCAGAAAAAGGAAAAGAAAAGGAGCCUCAAGAUUUUUGCAUGGCCCUGACACACAGAGCUGAGUGGGGAGGGAGGUGUUUG
rnacentral:lncRNA from 1 species